UGGAUCGACCUCAGAUUCACCAAGAUAUAUUAUAACUAAGCACUCUUAUACUUGAGAGUUAAUCAAACACUUUUAAAUCGUGCCAUAAAUUUUCAGACCUAGGAUUUUAAAAAAUGUCAUAGGCACGAAUACAAGCCCAAAACAAUUAGAAUUUGCGACAAAGCCACCAACAAUCGAUACAGUUCACUACACCAACAAUGUCCUAUGUCCAUUUUUAAGCUUGAAUAAAACAAGGCGGCACAAUUAACCUUUGAUCUAAGCGACAAUUGAUUGGCAUUAAAAAGUGUCAUUUAAUAACGAUAAAAUUAUUAGUUUUUUACUUAUUAUGUCGAUUAAUGUGCUCAUUACUUAUAAAU
rnacentral:lncRNA from 1 species